AACGAACGCUGGCGGCAGGCCUAACACAUGCAAGUCGAGCGCGCCUUCGGGUGAGCGGCGGACGGGUGAGUAACACGUGGGAAUAUGCCUUUCGGUGCGGAAUAGUCUUGGGAAACUGAGGGUAAUACCGCAUACGCCCCUUGGGGGAAAGAUUUAUCGCCGAAAGAUUAGCCCGCGUUGGAUUAGGUAGUUGGUGGGGUAAUGGCCUACCAAGCCGACGAUCCAUAGCUGGUUUGAGAGGAUGAUCAGCCACACUGGGACUGAGACACGGCCCAGACUCCUACGGGAGGCAGCAGUGGGGAAUCUUAGACAAUGGGGGCAACCCUGAUCUAGCCAUGCCGCGUGAGUGAUGAAGGCCUUAGGGUUGUAAAGCUCUUUCAGCUGGGAAGAUAAGGACGUACCAGCAGAAGAG
rnacentral:rRNA from 1 species